rnacentral:lncRNA from 1 species
GGGUGGAAUAUUAUAUGGAGCAGUACUAGACUUAGUGUUUGGUGUGAUGGUGGUCUCACGGAGACAAGAAUCAACUUCAUGAUCGAUUUAAUUAGUAUUAUCAAGGGUAGCAUAAAGAGAAACAAGUUCAUGAUUAAUUUCAUCUACAUUAGUAUUAUCAGAGACAGGAUAAGAAGGUACUUGUAAAGAGCCAAGUCAAACCUGUGGAGAAGAUUGAGCUAAUUGGUUGUGAUCAAAAGACACUAUAUUAUCCAAAAAAGAAGUGUCCAUAUUUAGAAUUUACCCACUUCUUGCAGAAUGACCCUCAAAUGAUAAUUUAUUUU